rnacentral:rRNA from 1 species
CCUACGUGUGGCAGCAGUAGGGAAUCUUCCACAAUGGGCGAAAGCCUGAUGGAGCAACGCCGCGUGGGUGAAGAAGGUCUUCGGAUCGUAAAACCCUGUUGUUAGAGAAGCAAGUGCGUGAGAGUAACUGUUCACGUUUCGACGGUAUCUAACCAGACAGCCACGGCUAACUACGUGCCAGCAUCCGCGGUAAUACGGAGGUGGCAAGCGUUAUCCGGCUGUAUUGGGCGUAAAGGGAACGCAGGCGGUCUUUUAAGUCUGAUGUGAAAGCCUUCGGCUUAACCGGAGUAGUGCAUUGGAAACUGGGAGACUUGAGUGCAGAAGAGGAGAGUGGAACUCCAUGUGUAGCGGUGAAAUGCGUAGAUAUAUGGAAGAACACCAGUGGCGAAAGCGGCUCGCUGGUCUGUAACUGACGCUGAGGUUCGAAAGCGUGGGUAGCAAACAGGAUUAGAUACCCGGGUAGUC